rnacentral:tRNA from 1 species
GCCGGAGUGGCGAAACAGGCAGACGCAAGGGACUUAAAAUCCCUCUCCCGAAAGGGAAUACCGGUUCGAUCCCGGUCUCCGGCA